rnacentral:rRNA from 1 species
UACGUAGGUGGCAAGCGUUAUCCGGAUUUAUUGGGCGUAAAGGGAACGCAGGCGGUCUUUUAAGUCUGAUGUGAAAGCCUUCGGCUUAACCGGAGUAGUGCAUUGGAAACUGGGUGACUUGAGUGCAGAAGAGGGGAGUGGAACUCCAUGUGUAGCGGUGAAAUGCGUAGAUAUAUGGAAGAACACCAGUGGCGAAAGCGGCUCUCUGGUCUGUAACUGACGCUGAGGUUCGAAAGCGUGGGUAGCAAACAGG